rnacentral:rRNA from 1 species
AUUGAACGCUGGCGGCAUGCCUUACACAUGCAAGUCGAACGGUAACAGGUCUUCGGAUGCUGACGAGUGGCGAACGGGUGAGUAAUGCAUCGGAACGUGCCCAGUAGUGGGGGAUAGCCCGGCGAAAGCCGGAUUAAUACCGCAUACGACCUGAGGGUGAAAGGGGGGGAUCGCAAGACCUCUCGCUAUUGGAGCGGCCGAUGUCAGAUUAGCUAGCUGGUGGGGUAAAGGCCUACCAAGGCAACGAUCUGUAGUUGGUCUGAGAGGACGACCAGCCACACUGGGACUGAGAAACGGCCCAGACUCCUACGGGAGGCAGCAGUGGGGAAUUUUGGACAAUGGGCGCAAGCCUGAUCCAGCAAUGCCGCGUGCAGGAAGAAGGCCUUCGGGUUGUAAACCGCUUUUGUCAGGGAAGAAAUCUUCUGGGUUAAUACCUCGGGAGGAUGACGGUACCUGAAGAAUAAGCACCGGCUAACUACGUGCCAGCCGCCGCGGUAACAC